UUAAUUGAUUAAAUUCUAGAAAAUACCAUCCAGCUGUAAUUUUAUCGAAUAAGGUGCCUAUGAGUAGCUCGAAUACGAAGCCUGAAAUAUGACCCUUGAUAGUCACUGUAAUGUCUGACAUUGCUGUAGCUGUUUAAAUGUCUAAUUCGUUUUCAUUUCGGCAUAAUAUCGUGCUGACUAAACUAUACAGAUAGUGGUGCUGUUUGUUCUCGUUCGCAAUUUUACACCAGUAAAACUCACCAACUUGAGGAUGAUGAGGCACUGGUGGGUUCUCAUGAUGUCGUUUCACGGCUCAGUUUUAGCUGCAGAAGAUGACGGCAACUACAACUCUGAUGCUGCUCUGACACCAUUCCCUGUAUUCUCCGCCGAACCAAUGGCACAAGAACAGUGCCGCUUGCAAUUCACCAAUUCACUGCCGCUCUUGGGAAAGCUUGCCCGAGAACUGUCCCUCCAACCCCAUAUUACAUAUUUACUGCAACAGCAGCGCCACCUCCAACGAAAUCCAGCAAAUGUCAGUGGCAUUUACGAAGCCGCCAUUGCGAGCCGUUGCGAUUUCAGUUAAUGACGGCGUUCAAGUGACGUCUGACAAUUUUGCCUCGGUACGACAGCAAGUCGUAUCGUUCUAUUUCUACAACUGUACCUCCGCUUGCGCAAUUGGGAAGUGGUCCUCCUUACGCUUAUCCAAUCUGAUGGAAUUAUAUGUAGAGAACUGCUACAAUUUGAAAAUCCGUCGAGCAGACUUUUGGCCGUCGCCAAAAGUCCGCCUGAUAAAUUUCGUCAACACGACCAUUCAAUCUCUGGAGAAGUACACCUUUACGGAUCUUCCCGCUCUGCGGUUGUUAUCCCUGGAAGGCGGGUUGGCUAAAAUGCCGUUGUUUAGUACAGAAAUCCGUGCAUACUUGAAAGACUUGCACUGCGGUGUGGCUUUUGAAUGGUUUCGAGAAUGGUGGGAGAAUAAGCACCUGCUAAAAAGUGCACAGGAAAACGAAGUGUACCAAAUCUAUCCGUUUCAGUGGGGCAGUGAUGCCUUAAAUAAGAGCGAUGUGUAUUUGCCCAUUGACUGCAGCGCAAAACCUUUUCCCAACGGAGUGACGUCCAUCGAUUUCAAGCAAGAACGGUUCUCUGUCAACGAUAACCUUUUUUCUGAUUGAUGGAUCGAUCGUUCCCGUUAAGCGAAUGAGGGAUUAUAUAACGAAAUGCGGCAACCUGGUAAUCCUAACGACAACGAAUCGGAUGACCGGUAUCCCGAAUUCUCCCUCGAACCCAUGUCUGUCGAAGAGUGCGCCACACAGAAACUCACCGACUGUCAACCAAAAGAUUGCGGAGGGGAUUUACAUCGUGGAUACGAGAUUCACGACUAUGGCUAUUGCAACAACAGCGCAACUACUUUCGACCGCAUACACCGCGCGGUCAUCGCGAUGACCCGAUUGCCAGUUCGACUAGUUAUGGUCUUCCUCCGGGACAGCACUCCGAUUCCGUUCAAAGAUCUGGCGCCGAUACGCAGGCGGAUUGUCGUAUUUGAGUUGAGCGAAUGUAUUAAUAAUCGAGCUACACAGAAACUUCACGACUUAUACUGGACAAAUCUUGUGGGCUUCGUUACUAUCAACUGCUCCGAUCUAGUAAUCAUGAAAAGCGAUUUUCAAAAUUCCAGGAAACUGAGACAGAUUUUUUUCCGCAACACGACAAUCGAGACACUAGAGGAGAACACCUUUACAAAUCUACCGUCGCUCGUGUCGCUUGCGCUGGAGUAUAAUCUGAAAUGUUCGGAAGAAACCGCGGAUCCUCUUCAGCCAGUUAUGUUUACUCAACGUAUCCGCGACUAUCUCUUUCACCUGCACUGCGGCUGCGAGUUCGCCUGGUUUCGUCGAUGGUGGAGCAAUAAUACAGCACGAUUCAUGCAAAUAGCGGAUGAUACCGGCGCGUAUUCAAUUGCAUCUGCUCUCAAUAGUUAUUACGCUUUUAAAGAAGACCAAAUUCCGAUUGACUGCGCUAAACCUAUUCCAUUGGGAGUGGAAUUCAUAAAUGCCAAUCAAACUGAAUUUUCUUUAAACGCAUUAGAAUGCUAAUGAAGUGCCAUUAAUUCGGAAAGGCUGAUUACUCGAAGCACUAGCUGAAAUUG